rnacentral:antisense_RNA from 1 species
GAUUCUUCCCAAUUCUACCGCCACCAUUCUGGUUCAAGCUACCUGGUCCAGCUUUGACUUUACCUGGUUUUUUAUAGAAUGCUACAACUCCCUCUAGAAGCUUCUCUUGAUAAGGUAAAACAUGCACAGAGCAAAUUUCGGUUGUAUCCUAGAAAUGAUAGCCAUAUUCAGGAUACUGGUUACACCUGACGAAACAUCUCCAUGAAAGUUAAGCAUACACAGGAUCUCACUUUGUUACCCAGGCUAGAUAGAGUGCAAUGGUGUGACCACAGCUCACUGAAGCCUCAACCUCCUGAGCUCACUUUUAAGCAAUCCUCUCACUUCGGCCUCCUGAGUAGCUGGGCCUACAGGCAUGUACCAACACUCCCAGCAAGUUUUUCUUAUUUUUUGUGAAGACAGAGUCUUGCAGUAUUGCCCAAGCUGGACUUGAACUCCUGGCCUCAAGCAAUCCUCCCAUCUAGGCCUCCCAAAGUGCUAGGAUUACAGGCAUGAGCCACUGUGCCAAGCAACACUUGCAGUUUUUAAGUGAAAAUGAUCCUGUAAAUAUACAUAUGAAUAAAAUCUAGAAAGCUAUAUAAAUCAAAA